UGGCUGUCAUGGCCUAUGACCGGUGUGUGU
rnacentral:piRNA from 1 species